UACCUGGUUGAUCCUGCCAGUAGUCAUAUGCUUGUCUCAAAGAUUAAGCCAUGCAAGUCUAAGUACGAGCUCUCGUACAGUGAAACUGCGAAUGGCUCAUUAAAUCAGUUAUGGUUCAUUUGAUCGUACAGUUUACUUGGAUAACUGUGGUAAUUCUAGAGCUAAUACAUGCGAGAAGCGCCGACCUCGCGGGAGGCGUGCAUUUAUCAGACCAAAAACCGGCCGCGUCUUCGGGCGCGUUCGCCUUGGUGACUCUGGAUAACUUUGCGGAUCGCACGGUCUAGCACCGGCGACGGAUCAUUCAAGUGUCUGCCCUAUCAACUUUCGUCGGUACGGUAUUUGCCUACCGAGGUUCUUACGGGUGACGGGGAAUCAGGGUUCGAUUC
rnacentral:ncRNA from 1 species